UACCAGCUCUCCGAGUAGUGUGGAUGUUUAUUGGGCCUAAAGCAUCCGUAGCUUGCUAAGCAAGUCCCCUGUUGAAUCCACCGAUUUAAUCGUUGGAUUGCGGGGGAUACUGUUUGGCUAGGGGACGGGAGAGGCCGACGGUAUUUCCGGGGUAGGGGUGAAAUCCUAUAAUCCCGGGAAGACCACCAGUGGCGAAGGCUGUCGGCUAGAACGCGCCCGACGGUGAGGGAUGAAAGCUGGGGGAGCGAACCGGAUUAGAUACCCGGGUAGUCCCAGCUGUAAACGACGCAGGCUAGGUGUUUGGGCGGCCACGAGCCGCCCUAGUGCCGCAGGGAAGCUGUUAAGCCUGCCGCCUGGGGAGUACGGCCGCAAGGCUGAAACUUAAGGAAUUGGCGGGGAGCACCACAAGGGGUGAAGGCUUGCGGUUU
rnacentral:rRNA from 1 species